rfam:Camelus ferus unplaced genomic scaffold scaffold265, whole genome shotgun sequence.
GGGGGUAUAGCUCAAGUGGUAGAGUCCAUGCUUAGCAUGCAUGAGGUCCUAGGUUCAAUCCCCAGUACUUCCU